rnacentral:lncRNA from 1 species
GGGUAAUGCACCUGAAAGAAAUCAUAAAAUUCAUCCAUAUCAUAAUAGUUAUUGUGUGCAUAACAAUUUUAAUAAAUGCAGGCAUUUGAUAUGUAGACCUUUACUCAAAUAGUUAUUGUGUGCAUAAAAAUUUUAAAUAAUACAAGAAAAAUAUGUACUAAUUUUCAGCAAUAGUUAUGUGUCUCUGUCUCUAUCUAAAAUUACAGUAGUAAUAAGAGCAACAGUUAUGUGUCUCUAUCUAAAAUUACAAAAGGAAUAAGAACAAAUAAGAACAAAAGCCUAUUCUGAGAAAAAUCAGCAUAAAUAUCAAUUAACAAACAAAUUUUCUGAGCAAAAACCUAUCCUUGAACAAAAACCUCUUCUGAGCAAAAAAACCUAUUAUGAGCAAAUAACCUAUUCUUUAAUAAACAAAUAUUCUGAGGUCAUGGACCUCCAAAUCCUAUUAUCUUGCGAUGAUGCUUUUUUCCCCUGAUUUUCUUAUUUCAUUUACUCCAAAAAUAAUGGAUGUGAAAACAAUUGGUUAAACUAUUUUAAUAUUAUAGACCACCCAAGGGAUCCUUGGUUCACCUGACAAAUUGGAAUUUAAGCAUUAAGUAUGAUGCUUUUUACAUUUGGGUGAGUUGGAAACAUAAAAUGGAUCUCAUUUACUGAGGCUGGAUCGGUUGCUUAUUGGCAUUUGGUUAUUUGCAAUGGAUCUAUGAUUAACAUAACCAACUUCUCUGUUUUGUUUGUCUUCUAUAUGUACAUAUGGAUUUAUGGUUUUUCUUUUUCUUUAAUCACAUGCUUAUAGGAUUUGGCAUGUCUUGGAUAUCGGAAUUAUUGAUUGACAUAUUUGAAUAUAAUUUCAAUCAUCCUAAUAGCUUUGCAUUUUACUUGUGAGCUGUUAGGCAGUAAAAAUCUCCUUGUUUUUUUAUAACAACUAGCAUGCUUGAUAUAAUGUGUGUUGAAAUAUAUUGUUACCGCCUUGUACAAAUAAAACAUCAUACUGCGGGUUUAUAAUGUACAGGACUAGUAGAGAUGUUUAUUGUUCAGAAAAUGAGAAAUUUGUCAGAAAGAACUCAUAGUCCUAAAUAAGCGCCUCUUAGAAGCUUUGAUGCCUCAUCCUGGAAGUCCUGAAGCAUAUUCAAGCAGGGCACUUUUGUGACUGGGACUUUUGACCUUCGCAUUGUCAUUUUAUGAAGCCAAGCAUUGUAAUUUAAGAGAUAUAACCUAAGCUGACUGGCCUUUGGACAUAUCUUUGCUUAGAAGAGGAGGGAGAUUGGGAAAAUUUGACAUCAUUCCGAAUAGAAAAGGCAAAAAAAACAAGGGUAUGAUGGACGGGGGAAUACGUAUUGUCCUAGUGAUGAUGAGAUGGAUGAAGCUAACAAUAAGUACUAUAACAUAGAAAGUGCCAACCAUUAGCCAUAAAGAAGGAAAAUAAUUAGUGGCAUUAAGAAAUAUUUUUAUUUCCAUUAGUUAUGUAUUAUAGACUUGGGGUAGGAUGUGAGUGUGGAAAUGAGCUCCUGAUAUCUGAUUAAGCUUUUGGAUGAUAGGAGAGCCAAAUUUUUAUUUACAGGGUGGAGAAAGUGUUGUGUUCCCUAUAUUGAGAAGGGGUUAUUCCUUGCUUUUCAGAAGCUGGCUUCCAUUGCAUAUAUGUCUUUAUGAAUUGUGGCUGGAGAUUAUGGGGUAGAUGAAAGUGGAAGGUUUCUUAGAUCUCAUCAGACAAAAGGGGGAAUUCUCUGGUGCAUGGAAUGGAUAAAUAGACUGUUGUUUAGGCUUCAUGUGCAGAGUAAGAAUGCAAGUCAUUGGUGAAAAAACAUACUUUCGAAAGGGCCUAUGGUUGGGCUACACUACAUUAAAAAAGAAUACUCCAUAAGCAUAGUGGAUUCAAGGCUGAAGUAAUAGUGGCAGAGGUGGUGGAAGAGAGGGGCUGCAAGCUAUAUUUGAAUCCCUUGCUUCAGAAGGGCAUCAAAGGACGAUGAAAUAGAGACAUGACAAAAAAGCUACAACAUGAGCUUCACUGGUUAUUUUCUUGCAAUAAAAAUAAGUUUGAUUGAUUUGGAUUCCAAUAGUAAAGUUGUUUUGUAGUGAUAUUGGGGUUUUUGCAACACUCUAUAAAUCUCAAAAAAUACAAGGAGAGAGAGUACCUUUACAGAUGGGGUGGGCUGCAGAGAGGUACAGUGAAGAGAGCUGCAAGCGGCUUCUCUCGGCGAGCAGCAAGUGGGCACGAGCAGCGAGAGGGCGAGAUCAGUGAGAGGGCGCAAGCAGAGAGAGAGAGCAAGAGGCACAGAGAGAGUGCCUCUAGUUUUUAAGAAGUAAGAGGAAGAGAGAAAAAAGGAAGAGAGAGAGAGAGAGAGCGAGAGGCAGAGAGGGCACGAGUAGCGAGAGGGUGAGAGGUCAAGAGCAGUGACAGGGCGCGGCGUGAGAAGAGAGAAAGAGAAGGGUGCAAGAAGAGAGAGAACGAGCGAGAUGCAAAGAGAGCGUGUCUGGUUUUUGGGAAGUUGGAGAGAGCGAGAGCAAGAUGCUGAGAAAGAGAGCACGUCUGGUUUUUGAGAUGUAGGAGAGAGAAAAACCCAGGAGAUAGAGAGAGCGUGAGGUAGAGAGAGAGUGCAGUGCCUUUUUGGGAAGUAAGAGAGAGAAACUCUAGGAGAGAGAGAGAGAGGCAC